rnacentral:rRNA from 1 species
UAAUAGUGUCUAUUAAAGUUGUUGCAGUUAAAAAGCUCGUAGUUGAAUGUUGGUGUCGAACGAGCGGUCAGCUUCGGCUGUACUGCUCUCUCGACUCCUUCCUUCUGUGGACUACGUCGCACUUUACUGUGUGGCGCUAGGACGCAGAUCGUUUACUGUGAAAAAAUUAGAGUGUUCAAAGCAGGCCGUACGCUUGAAUACAUUAGCAUGGAAUAAUGGAAUAGGACGUCGGGCCUAUUUUGUUGGUUCUAGGACCGUCGUAAUGAUUAAUAGGGACAGUUGGGGCCGUUUAUAUUCCGUAGUCAGAGGUGAAAUUCUUGGAUUUACGGAAGAUAAACUACUGCGAAAGCAUUCGGCAAGGAUGUUUUCGUUA